CCUUAGACUGGGAUGGGGCCGGGGCGGGAGAGCGGUGCAGCUGCUGGAGCUGCAGGGGAAAGGAGCCCAGCCUCACAUUUCAGACGAGGAAACAGAGGCUCAGACAGGACCAGAUCUCGGCAGGAUCGCAGGAGCAUCCUGACUGCCAGUUUAGCCACUGGUGCCAAUACCUUCAACUUGCAGACUCAGUGCCAUCCAGUUCUCAAGCCCAAUCCUGACCAAGGCCUGAGAUGAAG
rnacentral:lncRNA from 1 species